ensembl:snoRNA
GAUCAAUGAUGAAAACUAGCCAAAUCUGAGAGCCGAGGCAGACGACGCCUCCGCCGCUGAUUACGCUGGAGAAGCUUCUGUGU